AAAUCGUACCCCAAACCGACACAGGUGGUCAGGUAGAGAAUACCAAGGCGCUUGAGAGAACUCGGGUGAAGGAACUAGGCAAAAUGGUGCCGUAACUUCGGGAGAAGGCACGCUGGUGUGUAGGUGAAGUCCCUGCGGAUGGAGCUGAGACCAGUCGAAGAUACCAGCUGGCUGCAACUGUUUAUUAAAAACACAGCACUGUGCAAACACGAAAGUGGACGUAUACGGUGUGACGCCUGCCCGGUGCCGGAAGGUUAAUUGAUGGGGUUAUCCGUAAGGAGAAGCUCUUGAUCGAAGCCCCGGUAAACGGCGGCCGUAACUAUAACGGUCCUAAGGUAGCGAAAUUCCUUGUCGGGUAAGUUCCGACCUGCACGAAUGGCGUAAUGAUGGCCAGGCUGUCUCCACCCGAGACUCAGUGAAAUUGAACUCGCUGUGAAGAUGCAGUGUACCCGCGGCAAGACGGAAAGACCCCGUGAACCUUUACUAUAGCUUGACACUGAACAUUGAGCCUUGAUGUGUAGGAUAGGUGGGAGGCUUUGAAGCGUGGACGCCAGUCUGCGUGGAGCCAACCUUGAAAUACCACCCUUUAAUGUUUGAUGUUCUAACGUUGGCCCCUGACCGGGGUUGCGGACAGUGUCUGGUGGGUAGUUUGACUGGGGCGGUCUCCUCCCAAAGCGUAACGGAGGAGCACGAAGGUUAGCUAAUCCUGGUCGGACAUCAGGAGGUUAGUGCAAUGGCAUAAGCUAGCUUGACUGCGAGCGUGACGGCGCGAGCAGGUGCGAAAGCAGGUCAUAGUGAUCCGGUGGUUCUGAAUGGAAGGGCCAUCGCUCAACGGAUAAAAGGUACUCCGGGGAUAACAGGCUGAUACCGCCCAAGAGUUCAUAUCGACGGCGGUGUUUGGCACCUCGAUGUCGGCUCAUCACAUCCUGGGGCUGAAGUAGGUCCCAAGGGUAUGGCUGUUCGCCAUUUAAAGUGGUACGCGAGCUGGGUUUAGAACGUCGUGAGACAGUUCGGUCCCUAUCUGCCGUGGGCGCUGGAGAAUUGAGGGGGGCUGCUCCUAGUACGAGAGGACCGGAGUGGACGCAUCACUGGUGUUCGGGUUGUCAUGCCAAUGGCACUGCCCGGUAGCUAAAUGCGGAAGAGAUAAGUGCUGAAAGCAUCUAAGCACGAAACUUGCCCCGAGAUGAGUUCUCCCUGAGACUAUAAGUCUCCUGAAGGAACGUUAAAGACGAUGACGUUGAUAGGCCGGGUGUGUAAGCGCAGCGAUGCGUUGAGCUAACCGGUACUAAUGAACCGUGAGGCUUAACCUU
rnacentral:rRNA from 1 species